ACGAACGCUGGCGGCGUGCUUAACACAUGCAAGUCGAACGGAAAGGCCUUGCUUUUGUGGGGUGCUCGAGUGGCGAACGGGUGAGUAACACGUGAGUAACCUGCCCUUGACUUUGGGAUAACUUCAGGAAACUGGGGCUAAUACCGGAUAGGAGCUCCUGCUGCAUGGUGGGGGUUGGAAAGUUUCGGCGGUUGGGGAUGGACUCGCGGCUUAUCAGCUUGUUGGUGGGGUAGUGGCUUACCAAGGCUUUGACGGGUAGCCGGCCUGAGAGGGUGACCGGCCACAUUGGGACUGAGAUACGGCCCAGACUCCUACGGGAGGCAGCAGUGGGGAAUAUUGCACAAUGGGCGGAAGCCUGAUGUAGCAACGCCGCGUGCGGGAUGACGGCCUUCGGGUUGUAAACCGCUUUCGCCUGUGACGAAGCGUGAGUGACGGUAAUGGGUAAAGAAGCACCGGCUAACUACGUG
rnacentral:rRNA from 1 species